rnacentral:rRNA from 1 species
CACGUAGGAGGCGAGCGUUGUCCGGAAUCAUUGGGCGUAAAGGGCGCGCAGGCGGCUUGGCAAGUCGGGUGUGAAAUCCCGGGGCUCAACCCCGGGACUGCAUUCGAUACUGUCAGGCUAGAGGUAGGUAGGGGAGAUCGGAAUUCCUGGUGUAGCGGUGAAAUGCGCAGAUAUCAGGAGGAACACCGGUGGCGAAGGCGGAUCUCUGGGCCUUACCUGACGCUCAGGCGCGAAAGCUAGGGGAGCAAACGGG